rnacentral:rRNA from 1 species
CACGGGUGAGUAACGCGUAUGGAACCUACCUGAAACAGGGGGAUAGCUUCCGGAAACGGGGAUUAAUACCCCAUACGAUUCAUUUGUGGCCUCACAAAUGGAUAAAAGCUACGGCGGUUUCAGAUGGUCAUGCGUACCAUUAGUUAGUUGGUGAGGUAAAGGCUCACCAAGGCGAUGAUGGUUAGGGGUCCUGAGAGGGUAGUCCCCCACACUGGUACUGAGACACGGACCAGACUCCUACGGGAGGCAGCAGUGAGGAAUAUUGGUCAAUGGGCGCUAGCCUGAACCAGCCAUGCCGCGUGCAGGAAGACGGCCCUACGGGUUGUAAACUGCUUUUCUGCAGGAAGAAUAUAUAGUCUUAGGGCUAUAUUGACGGUACUGCAGGAAUAAGCAUCGGCUAACUCCGUGCCAGCAGCCGCGGUAAUACGGAGGAUGCAAGCGUUAUCCGGAUUCAUUGGGUUUAAAGGGUGCGCAGGCUGUAAAGCAAGUCAGUGGUGAAAGCCCUGGGCUUAACUCAGGGAUUGCCAUUGAAACUGUUUUACUAGAGUGUAGUAGAGGACGGCGGAAUGAGUUGUGUAGCGGUGAAAUGCAUAGAUAUAACUCAGAACACCUAUUGCGUAGGCAGCUGUCUAUACUACAACUGACGCUGAGGCACGAAAGCGUGGGGAGCGAACAGGAUUAGAUACCCUGGUAGUCCACGCUGUAAACGAUGAUCACUCG